rnacentral:rRNA from 1 species
AGCCCAGCUUGCUGGGUGGAUUAGUGGCGAACGGGUGAGUAACACGUGAGUAACCUGCCCUUGACUCUAGGAUAAGCCCGGGAAACUGGGUCUAAUACUGGAUAGGAACGUCUACCGCAUGGUGGAUGUUGGAAAGAAUUUCGGUCAUGGAUGGACUCGCGGCCUAUCAGCUUGUUGGUGAGGUAAUGGCUCACCAAGGCGACGACGGGUAGCCGGCCUGAGAGGGUGACCGGCCACACUGGGACUGAGACACGGCCCAGACUCCUACGGGAGGCAGCAGUGGGGAAUAUUGCACAAUGGGCGAAAGCCUGAUGCAGCGACGCCGCGUGAGGGAUGACGGCCUUCGGGUUGUAAACCUCUUUCAGUAGGGAAGAAGCGAAAGUGACGGUACCUGCAGAAGAAGCACCGGCUAACUACGUGCCAGCAGCCGCGGUAAUACGUAGGGUGCGAGCGUUAUCCGGAAUUAUUGGGCGUAAAGAGCUCGUAGGCGGUUUGUCGCGUCUGUCGUGAAAGUCCGGGGCUUAACCCCGGAUCUGCGGUGGGUACGGGCAGACUAGAGUGCAGUAGGGGAGACUGGAAUUCCUGGUGUAGCGGUGGAAUGCGCAGAUAUCAGGAGGAACACCGAUGGCGAAGGCAGGUCUCUGGGCUGUAACUGACGCUGAGGAGCGAAAGCAUGGGGAGCGAACAGGAUUAGAUACCCUG